UCCUGGCUCAGAUUAAACGCUGGCGGCAUGCCUUACACAUGCAAGUCGAACGGCAGCACGGGGGCAACCCUGGUGGCGAGUGGCGAACGGGUGAGUAAAGCACCGGAACGUGCCCUGGAGUGGGGGAUAACGUAGCGAAAGUUACGCUAAUACCGCAUAUUCUGUGAGCAGGAAAGCAGGGGAUCGCAAGACCUUGCGCUCUGGGAGCGGCCGAUGUCGGAUUAGCUAGUUGGUGGGGUAAAGGCCUACCAAGGCGACGAUCCGUAGCGGGUCUGAGAGGAUGAUCCGCCACACUGGGACUGAGACACGGCCCAGACUCCUACGGGAGGCAGCAGUGGGGAAUUUUGGACAAUGGGCGAAAGCCUGAUCCAGCCAUGCCGCGUGAGUGAAGAAGGCCUUCGGGUUGUAAAGCUCUUUCGGUGGGGAAGAAAUUGCAUGGGUUAAUACCCUGUGUAGAUGACGGUACCUGGAGAAGAAGCACCG
rnacentral:rRNA from 1 species